rnacentral:misc_RNA from 1 species
UCACCGCUUGCGCGGGCAGUUUCACUAGAGUCCCCAGCAUUACCUGAUGGCAACUAGUGAUAGGGGUUGCGCUCGUUAUGGGACUUAACCCGACACCUCACGGCACGAGCUGACGACAGCCAUGCAGCACCUAGACAGCAGUUCCGAAGAAAAGUCACCUUUCGGCAACGGUCUCCUGUCUUUCAAGCCCUGGUAAGGUUCCUCGCGUAUCAUCGAAUUAAACCACAUGCUCCUCCGCUUGUGCGGGCCCCCGUCAAUUCCUUUGAGUUUCAGUCUUGCGACCGUACUCCCCAGGUGGAUCACUUAAUGCUUUCGCUCAGACGCUGACAGUAUAUCGCCAACAUCGAGUGAUCAUAGUUUACGGCGUGGACUAC